UACGUAGGGUGCGAGCGUUGUCCGGAAUUAUUGGGCGUAAAGAGCUUGUAGGCGGUUUGUCGCGUCUGCCGUGAAAAGUUCGAGGCUCAACCUCGAACUUGCGGUGGGUACGGGCAGACUAGAGUGUGGUAGGGGAGACUGGAAUUCCUGGUGUAGCGGUGAAAUGCGCAGAUAUCAGGAGGAACACCGAUGGCGAAGGCAGGUCUCUGGGCCACUACUGACGUGAGAAGCGAAAGCAUGGGGGAGCGAAC
rnacentral:rRNA from 1 species